rnacentral:rRNA from 1 species
AGCGAAAGCGUGGGGAGCGGAACAGGGAUUAGAUACCCUGGUUAUCCACGCCGUAAACGAUGAGUGCUAAGUGUUUAGGGGGUUUCCGCCCCCUUAUGCUGCAGCUAACGCAUUAAGCACUCCGCCUGGGGAGUACGGUCGCAAGACUGAAACUCAAAGGAAUUGACGGGGGCCCGCACAAGCGGUGGAGCAUGUGGUUUAAUUUGAAGCAACGCGAAGAACCUUACCAGGUCUUGACAUCCUCUGACAAUCCUAGAGAUAGGACGUCCCCUUCGGGGGCAGAGUGACAGGUGGUGCAUGGUUGUUGUCAGCUCGUGUCGUGGGAUGUUGGGUUAAGUCCCGCAACGAGCGCAACCCUUGAUUUUAGUUGCCAGCAUUCAGUUGGGCACUUUAAGGUGACUGCCGGUGACAAACCGGAGGAAGGUGGGGAUGACGUCAAAUCAUCAUGCCCCUUAUGACCUGGGCUACACACGUGCUACAAUGGACAGAACAAAGGGCAGCGAAACCGCGAGGUUAAGCCAAUCCCACAAAUCUGUUCUCAGUUCGGAUCGCAGUCUGCAACUCGACUGCGUGAAGCUGGAAUCGCUAGUAAUCGCGGAUCAGCAUGCCGCGGGAGUCAUUCCCGGGCCUUGUACACACCGCCCGGCGACCCCUCAAUUUGUAACACCCGAAGUCGGUGAGGUAACCUUUAGGAGCCAGCCGCUCUAAGGUGGAACCCCCCGC